GAUGAACGCUGGCGGCGUGCCUAACACAUGCAAGUCGAGCGAUUCUCUUCGGAGAAGAGCGGCGGACGGGUGAGUAACGCGUGGGUAACCUGCCCUGUACACACGGAUAACAUACCGAAAGGUAUGCUAAUACGAGAUAAUAUGCUUUUAUCGCAUGGUAGAAGUAUCAAAGCUUUUGCGGUACAGGAUGGACCCGCGUCUGAUUAGCUAGUUGGUAAGGUAAUGGCUUACCAAGGCGACGAUCAGUAGCCGACCUGGUAGGGUGAUCGGCCACAUUGGAACUGACACACGGUCCAAACUCCUACGGGAGGCAGCAGUGGUGAAUAUUGCACAAUGGGCGAAAGCCUGAUGCAGCAACGCCGCGUGAGCGAUGAAGGCCUUCGGGUCGUAAAGCUCUGUCCUCAAGGAAGAUAAUGACGGUACUUGAGGAGGAAGCCCCGGCUAACUACGUGCCAGCCGCCGCCGUAA
rnacentral:rRNA from 1 species